rnacentral:rRNA from 1 species
UACGUGCGGGGCGAACGUUGUUCGGUGUCACUGGGCUUAAAGGGUGCGUAGGUGGUUGCGUAAGUAACGUGUGAAAGCCCUCGGCUUACCCGGGGAAUUGCGCGUUAUACUGCGUGACUUGAGGAUUUCAGGGGAAAGGGGAACUCCAGGUGUAGCGGUGAAAUGCGCAGAUAUCUGGGGGAAGGCCGGCGGCGAAGGCGCCUUUCUGGGAAAUUCCUGACACUGAGGCACGAAAGCGUGGGGAGCAAACAGG